UCUCCGUAGGUGAACCUGCGGAGGGAUCAUUACACAAUUAAAAUAUGAAGGCCCUUCAAACCGGCUGGAUUAUUUUUAUUCACCCUUGUCUUUUGCGCACUUGUUGUUUCCUGGGCGGGUUCGCUCGCCACCAGGACCACAUCAUAAACCUUUUUUGUUAAUGCAAUCAGCGUCAGUAUAACAAAUGUAAAUCAUUUACAACUUUCAACAACGGAUCUCUUGGUUCUG
rnacentral:misc_RNA from 1 species